rnacentral:rRNA from 1 species
CGGAGGGUGCGAGCGUUGUUCGGAAUUAUUGGGCGUAAAGCGCGUGUAGGCGGCUCCUUAAGUCUGAUGUGAAAGCCCCGGGCUCAACCUGGGAAGUGCAUUGGAAACUGGGGAACUUGAAUACAGGAGAGGGUAGUGGAAUUCCUGGUGUAGGAGUGAAAUCCGUAGAUAUCAGGAGGAACACCGGUGGCGAAGGCGGCUGCCUGGACCGAUAUUGACGCUGAGACGCGAAAGCGUGGGGAGCAAACAGGAUUAGAUACCCUGGUAGUCCACGCCGUAAACGAUGAGUACUGGGUGUUGCGGGUAUUGACCCCUGCAGUGCCGCAGCUAACGCAUUAAGUACUCCGCCUGGGAAGUACGGUCGCAAGACUA